GGGUCUGUAGCUCAGCUGGAAAGAGCACUGGCCUCCGGAGCCAGGAGUCGGGGGUUCAAAUCCCCCCAGACCCG
rfam:Thermodesulfobacterium commune DSM 2178, complete genome.